rnacentral:rRNA from 1 species
GAUGAACGCUGGCGGCGUGCUUAACACAUGCAAGUCGAACGAUGAAGCCCAGCUUGCUGGGUGGAUUAGUGGCGAACGGGUGAGUAACUCGUGAGUAACCUGCCCUUAACUCUGGGAUAAGCCUGGGAAACUGGGUCUAAUACCGGAUAGGAGCGCCUACCGCAUGGUGGGUGUUGGAAAGAUUUAUCGGUUUUGGAUGGACUCGCGGCCUAUCAGCUUGUUGGUGAGGUAAUGGCUCACCAAGGCGACGACGGGUAGCCGGCCUGAGAGGGUGACCGGCCACACUGGGACUGAGACACGGCCCAGACUCCUACGGGAGGCAGCAGUGGGGAAUAUUGCACAAUGGGCGAAAGCCUGAUGCAGCGACGCCGCGUGAGGGAUGACGGCCUUCGGGUUGUAAACCUCUUUCAGUAGGGAAGAAGCGAAAGUGACGGUACCUGCAGAAGAAGCACCGGCUAACUACGUG